rnacentral:rRNA from 1 species
UUUUGAUUAAUAAUUUAAAGUCUAAUCUGCCCMCUGAUAUUAUAUUAAAGGGCUGCAGUAUUUUGACUGUACAAAGGUAGCAUAAUCAUUAGUCUCUUAAUUGGUGACUUGUAUGAAAGAUUUGAUGAAAUAUAUACUGUCUCUAAUUAAUUUAUAAAAUUUAAUUUUUUAGUUAAAAAGCUAAAAUAAAUUUAAAAGACGAGAAGACCCUAUAGAGUUUAAUAUUUAUAUAAAUUGAGAUUUUAUAUAAGAAUUAUAAUUUUAAUAAUAUAUAAAUAUUUUGUUGGGGUGACAAAAAAAUUAAAAUAACUUUUUUUAUAUAUUUACAUUUAUAAAUGAAUAAAUGAUCCAUAAUUUAUGAUUAUAAGAAAAAAUUACCUUAGGGAUAACAGCGUAAUUUUUUUUUUUAGUUCAAAUAAGAAAAAAAGUUUGCGACCUCGAUGUUGGAUUAAGAUAAAAUUUAAAUGCAAAAGUUUAAAAUUUUUGAUCUG